rnacentral:rRNA from 1 species
GAUGAACGCUGGCGGCGUGCUUAACACAUGCAAGUCGAACGAUGAAGCCCAGCUUGCUGGGUGGAUUAGUGGCGAACGGGUGAGUAACACGUGAGUAACCUGCCCUUAACUCUGGGAUAAGCCUGGGAAACUGGGUCUAAUACCGGAUAGGAGCGUCCACCGCAUGGUGGGUGUUGGAAAGAUUUAUCGGUUUUGGAUGGACUCGCGGCCUAUCAGCUUGUUGGUGAGGUAAUGGCUCACCAAGGCGACGACGGGUAGCCGGCCUGAGAGGGUGACCGGCCACACUGGGACUGAGACACGGCCCAGACUCCUACGGGGGGCAGCAGUGGGGAAUAUUGCACAAUGGGCGCAAGCCUGAUGAAGCGACGCCGCGUGAGGGAUGACGGCCUUCGGGUUGUAAACCUCUUUCAGUAGGGAAGAAGCGAAAGUGACGGUACCUGCAGAAGAAGCACCGGCUAACUACGUG